AGGUCACUACAUCUUUGAGACAGGGAAAGCGUGAUGACUAUUCUGGGACCAGAAACGUGAUGAUUUCUCUUUCGCGUUUCUGCCCUCUUUCUUCUUUGUCCUGAAGAUUCCUGAGGCUCUGCAGAGCCACAGAGUGAAGACUUCAGGAACUCAGCUUAAGGUGUCUGGCUUGGGGGGACAGAUGACUGGGCUUCAGGGGGUGGGAACAGCAGUGAUCACACUUGUGCCCUGUGAGAGUAUUUCCCCCUUCAGGUCUAGAAGAAAGCCUGAAACCAUUUCUGCCAAAAAACUGCAUAGGCUCCGUGAGCAGCGAGGCAAGACAUUUGGAAAGAGGGAGGUAGAAGUCAUGCUUGCUUUGGCUGUUCAGAUCCAGGGGGACGUUGCAUUGACUCAGGAUGAUAAUGAGACUUGAAUCCAUGGCAAUCUCGGUGUGUUGAAGAAACAGGGAUGUUUGGCCUGAAGAAGACUUAGAGACCAAGGAUUUACAAUCUUCUAAGAAAGGAGGCGUUCCCCUUUCUAGAGCUGAUGUGAUGUGAACCAGGUGGCCCAAGGAGGUAGUAAGUUCCCCAUGGGAAUGGGAGCAGGAAUUGCCGAACUACUUGGCAAGGAUGUGGAGAAGCAACAAGGCACGUGUUGGACAGUUGACUUUUAAAGUCCCUUCUAGGCCUGGGCUUCUGGGACUCUCCCAACACCAGCCUCCACUUUCGGCAGCCAGCUGCCUUCUGGAUGAGUCGAAAGCCUGUCCAGCUCUGGCCUCCUUGCUGGGUGGGGCUCCAAGGGAGCCGCCAAGGCCUCCCACUCCUGCCAUACAGGGCCACCGCACUCACCGCCUCUGGGGUGCCUCUUGCAGCCACCACCCGCCUGGAGUCAAGAACUGAAUAAAUUGGUUAAAUAAGGAAAAGACAAAAACUACACACACACGCACACGCACACAAAGAGAGGGAGACUUAGUCUGUCUGAAAUGAGAAAUGCUGUCUUGCUUUGGCCUUUUAUCAUAAGCCCAUGGAGAUGAAUAUUCUGACCUAAUAAUCAAAACAGGCUGUAAUUGCAAACAGACUCUCAAGGCUGCACGGCCAAGGAGAGAGCAGAUGAGAUACCCGCUGAGCACAGCAGGCCGGGCCCCACCAGCCCUCCUCCCAGCCUCGGCGGAUCGAUGUGGCCAGCCAGCCACACACCAUUUCGCUGGCCUGGCUUGAUGGAGCCCUGUUCACAUUCUGCCUUCCUCCAGGGACCUGAGGCUCCCUUUGCAGGGGAACCUGCUCAGAGGAAGCCAGCCCCUGCUCCCAACCUGAGAUAAACAUGAUGAAAUACCCAGCAGCGUCCUGCGAGACCACAGGGAGGAGGGAAGGAGGCUGUGCUCCCCCCUCUCCCCAGCUCCACCUCCUCUUGGCUCUGGGAGAUGUUCUCCUGGGUGCGCCACCAAAGCUGGAAGGUCUUUGUGUCCCCUCCCUGCUCCCGCCUCCUUUUUGUGUUUUGUUUCAGACACACCCUCAGCUCAAAUUUGCUUUGAAGGUCAGUGAUUGCCACUCCUUUUCAAAACAACUUCCCAGCUCUUCUGGGACCCAAAUGUUGAUUCUCUGUGCUGAGGAAUGAGGCUCCCUCGACAACAAGUACAUUCCAGAAAUAUCCAUCCAACAUCUUCAAUGGGCAAGACAUCCAGAGAGACCAAAGAUGAUCCAGGCCUGGGCCUUGCACCCAGGGCACUCCCUCCGAUUCACAAAAAGUUGCAAAGAUAGUAGAGAGUGGUCCCUUCCCCAAGCUUCCUCCCCAGUGGAAACGUCUUGCAGAAUUAUGGUACGACAUCAAAAGAGACCAAUGCUGUUUGACCUUCAAACCCAUCCAACCCCUACCUGGAGAGCUUGUGCGUAUCAACUGUGGCUUCUCUGAAGCACAGACCUGCUCCAGAAGAUGGAGAGUUUAGACAAAUUGGACAAGACAAGAGGCCUCAGGAGGGUCAGCCCCAUCAACAGACAGUCCUGGAACUAGUCCUGGCUGAGCUGGGCUCCUCGCUCUGAACCCCAGCUUGUCUGUUUGAGUGGUGCCUCUUCUGUCUGUCUUACACCAGUCACAGCUCGGAGGGAUGCUACCUGCCCCCACCCCAAAUCCAGACUCUCUCCAGAGACUACCCAGAGUGCAGCAUCAUUGCCCAGAACCCCUAGGGGCCACCUUGCCAUCUGAGAUCCAAGGCCAAGAUGGUGCAUCCUCCUGAGCUGUGUACGAGGUCCUCCAGGGUCCUACCUGCUCACAGAUCUCCCAGCCUAGCCCUUCUCCAGUUCCCUCGCCCCACAGAGGACUGGCCUGCUGAGAAGACAGCCCCUCUAGCACCAGGUAACUCUGCUGUCUUGGAGCUCUUCACCAGGGCAGAUGCGGUAAAGGCUGGAUGCGUCCUGGGCUGGGAGGCAGGGCACCCGGCCCCUGGGCUGGCCCAUCACUGAUUUUCCACAUGACUCCAGGCAAAUGACUAAACCCUCUCCUGGGAACAGUCUCAGCACUAAUCCCAGGUGAUCAGGACCCACAAGAAGUUAUUGACAUGAACAAGUUUUGGAAAGAAAAGCGCUAUAAAAAUUA